AAAAAGAAAACGGAGGAAGGGGCCACCAGCCAAGGAAUGAGGACAGCCUUCAGAACCUGGAAAAGUCUCCCACAGACCCCCCAAAAGGAGCACACCCCUCCCUGCAAUGGAUUCCAGCUCACUAGUGGGCCCACCGUUGGUCUCUGACCCAGCAGCACUAGAAGGCCUCCGUUUCUUGCCUAUAUUAUGGGAUGCAGGACGAGAUGACCUCCGAGACCACCCCUGGCCUUAACGUUCUGCAUGUCUGUGAUUGGGCCUCAGCGUUCAUCUUCCUCCUGGAUCUUUGAUUCAAUCGGGAUGAGUCAGGCACUGACAGCCGCCUUGGGCCCUGAGCGCCUGCUCGGAGAGCAGUGCCAGGGCCCAGAAGAUCAGCUCAGAUCCUUGCUGGGUCACAUGCGUGGGUGUCAGCACUUCCUGCCUAGACUUUUCCCUUUGACUCAUGCUUCUCUUGUGUUCGGGAUCCCUGUUCCUCAGCCUUGUUCAUCUGGAAAGGAAGGAGCAUGUGCCAAAAUAAUGAUAAGGAGUCGAAUACAGCAGCCACGGUGGCAAAUGCCUCUAAUCUCCCCGGUUCCGGAAGCUGAGGCAGGAGGAUCCAAGUUCCAACUUAGCAAGACCCUAUCUCAAGGGCAAUGAGAGCCUGCAUCUACACAGACCAGAGCAGCAGCAUUCAGCAGCGGAAAUUGAAUGACCUGACCUGGAGUCCCUUCCCACCACACUGCUGCAGGAUGCCACCAGGGGGC
rnacentral:lncRNA from 1 species